GUGAAAUGUUGGGUUAAGUCCCGCAACGAGCGCAACCCUUAUCCUUGUUUGCCAGCGAGUAAUGUCGGGAACUCCAGGGAGACUGCCGGUGAUAAACCGGAGGAAGGUGGGGACGACGUCAAGUCAUCAUGGCCCUUACGAGUAGGGCUACACACGUGCUACAAUGGCGCAUACAGAGGGCAGCAANCUAGCGAUAGUGAGCGAAUCCCAAAAAGUGCGUCGUAGUCCGGAUUGGAGUCUGCAACUCGACUCCAUGAAGUCGGAAUCGCUAGUAAUCGUGAAUCAGAAUGUCAGCGGUGAAUACGUUCCCGGGC
rnacentral:rRNA from 1 species